rnacentral:rRNA from 1 species
UGAAUACGAGAUGCUACGGCGUCGAAGCAGUCUAUGUCAUACUUCCAAGAAAAGCUCGCACUGUCAUAAACAAAUAAUGCCUGUACCAUAACCGACACAGGUGGGUAGGUAGAGUAUACUAAGGGGCGCGAGAUAACUCUCUCUAAGGAACUCGGCAAAAUGACUCCGUAACUUCGGGAGAAGGAGUGCCUUAUUUAUAAGGUUGCAAUAACAAGAUCCAAGCAACUGUUUAUCAAAAACACAGGUCUCCGCUAAGUCGUAAGACGAUGUAUGGGGGCUGACGCCUGCCCAGUGCCAGAAGGUUAAAGAAGUUGGUUAGCAUUCGCGAAGCUGAUAACUGAAGCCCUGGUGAACGGCGGCCGUAACUAUAACGGUCCUAAGGUAGCGAAAUUCCUUGUCGGGUAAGUUCCGACCCGCACGAAAGGCGUAAUGAUUUGGAUACUGUCUCGGAGAGGGGCUCGGUGAAAUAGACUUGUCUGUGAAGAUGCGGACUACCUGCACCAGGACAGAAAGACCCUAUGAAGCUUUACUGUAACUUGAGAUUGAAAUUGGACUUUACUUGCGCAGUAUAGGUGGGAGGCGUUGAUAAUAUUCUUGCGGGAUUAUUUGAGCCAUCAGUGAGAUACCACUCUUGUAAUGUUAGAUUUCUAACUUUGUAUCAUUAUCUGGUCAAAGGACAGUUUCAGGCGGGCAGUUUGACUGGGGCGGUCGCCUCCUAAACGGUAACGGAGGCGCACAAAGGUUUCCUCUGAACGGGUAGAAAUCGUAUCUAGAGUGUAAAGGCAUAAGGAAGCUUGACUGUGAGACCUACAAGUCGAGCAGGGACGAAAGUCGGUCUUAGUGAUCUGACGGUGCUGAGUGGAAAGGCCGUCACUCAACGGAUAAAAGUUACUCUAAGGAUAACAGGCUGAUCUCCCCCAAGAGUUCACAUCGACGGGGAGGUUUGGCACCUCGAUGUCGGCUCAUCGCAUCCUGGGGCGGUAGUACGUCCCAAGGGUUGGGCUGUUCGCCCAUGAAAGCGGUACGCGAGCUGGGUUCAGAACGUCGUGAGACAGUUCGGUCCAUAUCCGGUGUAGGCGUUAGAAUAUUGAGAGGAGCCUUCUUUAGUACGAGAGGACCGAGAAGGACAUACCUCUGGUGUACCAGUUAUCGUGCCAACGGUAAACGCUGGGUAGCUAUGUAUGGAGUGGAUAACCGCUGAAAGCAUCUAAGUGGGAAGCCCACCUCAAGAUAAGUAUUCUCAUG